UAAAGGCGACAUGUAAAAGAAAAUAUAUAUGUCAUUUUAGCAGGAAGUAUAUCCAGAAUGUAUGAGAACAUGUGUUGAAAAGAAUUGCUAUCAUAGCCUAACAUUUUUUUAGUUGCACACAUCACAUGUCGAUGUUACAAAUAGAUCAGGUGCCCACAUGCCUUUGAUUUUCCCCUAACAGACUGACUUAGAGCAUGGAUAGUUGGUGCGGGUCUGUAUGUGGUUGCCAAUGGAGUAACUUGCAAUUCCACACCCAGUCUAACAAAAUGAUAAUGUCCACCUCAUGACUUCGGUUCCAUGUCUCCACAAAGCUGGCAGAAUUGAGAAUCACAAAUCAUGAGAAAGGGAAUACACGCAAGAUGUCACGAACAUAAAUUGGUCAAAAGUUCAGGGAUCAAUGAACGGUACCUACAAACCCAAGCAUGAUAGACAGGAAGUACAUCAUGGCGCACGGUACCAAAUGACCAGAAAGCAAAAACCAAAUCAGAAAAAUACAAACCUAGAUUCCUAAAUAAAUAGAGGAUGCAAUUUCUUAUAAUUCUAAAUUGUAGUAUGGAGAUCGCUGUAUGGCCCAUGCACCAAGGUUCUAAGAAAAGUUGGCAUAACAAUCAAGCAUUGCAAAUACUUGGUAUUUUCUAACAGGAAAGGAGAGGGGUCUCUCACCUAGCGAAGCGAUAGGGGGGGGAGGCAACAGGCAAGAACAAUAACAAUGAAAACUGGUGCACGUGUCGUCAUAAAGAUACUUGUAUAUGUGCGCCUAAUCAUAUCCUGCAUCUGUUUAAAUUGUCUGGGAGACAUAUAUUAGAUGACAUAAAAGUAUAUUGUGGGUAAUUCAAGAAAUCUAUAUAUCCUAGAAAAAUAAGUGAUUUACAAUUGAUCAAAGGCAUCCUCUUUAUCAUGUGGACACACAAGAAGAAAAUUUCAGACCAAAUGUGGCAGAUCAGAUUGUCUUUUCAGCUUGUGAAAAAGAGUCAGCUUUUUUUAGGGAUAAUAAGUCAAAAAGGUUAUGUUGUGUUUGCAGGGAACAUAACGUCCUAACGGUGGAUACUCGAGUGGUAUAAGCAGGUAGUAUUUUUAUCUCAUUUAGUCGCAUUAAAAUGAACCUAGACUAUAUACUGCAGCUAAUAUAUUUCAUAUUAGCGUAAAGGGAGAAGCCCAGUGAAAUCAGCUAAGAAUUCAUCUAGGAAUGAUCCGUUCUGUUAUUUUCAAGGGCACAUAUCAAAUGAUCCCAAGUAAGAAUUUCAAAGUUGUGGAAUCUCAAAAGAUCCAUCUAGGAACGCAAGUACGGCAACUAAAUAGUGAUUAAAUUAAUGUUUGAGCUUGGAUAAGCUUACCUGGGUGGCCUCUUCUCCAAACGGUCCUCAACUUUGGGACAUAGAUGGCUUGCUUAAUGAAAUCCGGGCAGCAUGAGCCUCUUCAAAUGGAAUGGUCCCUGUCAUUGCCCUCAAAACAUUAGACCAUGCUUAGUUAUAAAUCACGUCACACAUAGCUUAAUUUUUUGGGUAGUUGUAAACAUUGUACAUCAAAAGUUAAAUAAAAGCCCAAAAGAGAACUCCAAUGACUACAUUAUAAUGCAUUGCCACUUACCCAUGAUCAACACAACAAGAUCGAAGGACGUGUCGACGGGCGGCAAGAGGGGCCUGACAGGGAGGUCCGUGCAGGAUCUGGAAGGAACACACACCAGUGAUGCAAAGCUCAGAACCAACAGAUUGAAAGAAAGCGGCUUAAAUAUUCAUACACAGCAGGCUAAUCAGGUUAAUUUACCAUACAUACGAGCAACUACCACAGAAUAGUUGGAUCUACCCAAGCAGUUCUACAUAAGCUUACAAGCUCGCAAAAUGCCCAC
rnacentral:lncRNA from 1 species